rnacentral:rRNA from 1 species
UACGUAGGGGGCAAGCGUUUGUCCGGAUUUAUUGGGCGUAAAGCGCGUGUAGGCGGCCAGGUAGGUCCGUUGUGAAAACUCGAGGCUCAACCUCGAGACGCCGGCGGAAACCAUCUGGCUAGAGUCCGGAAGAGGAGAGUGGAAUUCCCGGUGUAGCGGUGAAAUGCGCAGAUAUCGGGAAGAACACCCGUGGCGAAGGCGGCUCUCUGGGACGGUACUGACGCUGAGACGCGAAAGCGUGGGGAGCGAACAGG